rnacentral:rRNA from 1 species
AUUGAACGCUGGCGGAAUGCUUUACACAUGCAAGUCGAACGGCGGCACGGACUUCGGUCUGGUGGCGAGUGGCGAACGGGUGAGUAAUGUAUCGGAACGUGCCCAGUCGUGGGGGAUAACGUAGUGAAAAUCACGCUAAUACCGCAUACGAUCUAUGGAUGAAAGCGGGGGAUCGCAAGACCUCGCGCGAUUGGAGCGGCCGAUAUCAGAUUAGGUAGUUGGUGGGGUAAAGGCCCACCAAGCCAACGAUCUGUAGCUGGUCUGAGAGGACGACCAACCAAACGGGAACAGGGACACGGUCCAGACUCCUACGGGAGGCAGCGGUGGGGAAUUUUGGACAAUGGGCGAAAGCCUGAUCCAGCCAUUCCGCGUGCAGGAUGAAGGCCCUCGGGUUGUAAACUGCUUUUGUACAGAACGAAAAGGUUUCUACUAAUACUAGGAGCUCAUGACGGUACUGUAAGAAUAAGCACCGGCUAACUACGUGCCAGCCGCCGCAGUAA